AGGGGUGAUGACCCGGUGGGAAGGGCGCUCGUCUCCAAAACGAGUUCAAGCAGGUUCGAAUCCUGUCACCCCUGCCA
rnacentral:tRNA from 1 species